GGUUGUAGCUCAGUGGUAGAGCCCUUGCCUAGCAUGUGUGAGGCCCUGGGUUCGAUUCUCAGCACCA
rnacentral:tRNA from 1 species